GGCGAAGAUAGCGAAAGGGAUACACCUGUACCCAUCUCGAACACAGAAGUUAAGUCUUUUAGCGCCGAUGGUACUAUGGGGGAGAGCCCAUGGGAGAGUAGGUAUUCGCC
rnacentral:rRNA from 1 species